CAACCUAUCAACUUCAUCUUAUAUAAUAAUCAUAUAUAAUUUAUUUAUUAUAUGUAUCAACGCCAUGCAGGAAACCAGCUGGUUGCCCAGAGCGGGAUGAGUCUGUAGUGACCCUACCACGGACUGCCACUUUACCUUGGGACCCAGUUGAGGAAGAACUCCCACAGAGGGGGGGGGCUCAGACAUGGAGAUCAAAUGAGAGCAACUUUUCCUGUCGACCCUCGGUGGUUGUACUGGAGGUGAUGCCGUCCGCCGCAUGCUGCGGCAAGAUGCAACG